AUGACAGAGAGAGCAGAUGUCAUGCAGUUUAACAUGAUGGACUACAAGAGAGGACUGCUGCUUUUAACUAUCUGCUGGGGAGUUCAUGCCCAGACUGUGACACAAUCUGAACCAGUUGUUAAAAAACCUGGAGAGUCUCACAGACUCACCUGUACCACCUCUGGACUCUCAUUUAGUAGCUGGUGGAUGGCCUGGAUCAGACAGGCUCCUGGGAAAGGACUGGAGUGGAUUGCAAUUGAUACUAAUGGUGGCACCAACUACUACUCUCAGUCAGUACAAGGCAGGUUUACUGCCUCCAGAGACAACAGCAGAGAGCAGCUGUUUCUGCAGAUGAACAGCCUGAAGACUGAAGAUUCUGCUGUUUAUUAUUGUGCUCGAGAGUCACAGUGA